rnacentral:rRNA from 1 species
GACGAACGCUGGCGGCGUGCUUAACACAUGCAAGUCGAACGGAAAGGCCCUGCUUUUGUGGGGUGCUCGAGUGGCGAACGGGUGAGUAACACGUGAGUAACCUGCCCUUGACUUUGGGGUAACUUCAGGAAACUGGGGCUAAUACCGGAUAGGAGCUCCUGCUGCAUGGUGGGGGUUGGAAAGUUUCGGCGGUUGGGGAUGGACUCGCGGCUUAUCAGCUUGUUGGUGGGGUAGUGGCUUACCAAGGCUUUGACGGGUAGCCGGCCUGAGAGGGUGACCGGCCACAUUGGGACUGAGAUACGGCCGAGACUCCUACGGGAGGCAGCAGUGGGGAAUAUUGCACAAUGGGCGGAAGCCUGAUGCAGCAACGCCGCGUGCGGGAUGACGGCCUUCGGGUUGUAAACCGCUUGCGCCUGUGACGAAGCGUGAGUGACGGUAAUGGGUAAAGAAGCACCGGCUAACUACGUG